GACGAACGCUGGCGGCGUGCCUAAUACAUGCAAGUUGAGCGCUGAAGGUUGGUACUUGUACCAACUGGAUGAGCAGCGAACGGGUGAGUAACGCGUGGGGAAUCUGCCUUUGAGCGGGGGACAACAUUUGGAAACGAAUGCUAAUACCGCAUAAAAACUUUAAACACAAGUUUUAAGUUUGAAAGAUGCAAUUGCAUCACUCAAAGAUGAUCCCGCGUUGUAUUAGCUAGUUGGUGAGGUAAAGGCUCACCAAGGCGAUGAUACAUAGCCGACCUGAGAGGGUGGUCGGCCACAUUGGGACCGAGACACGGCCCAAACUCCUAAGGGGGGCAGCAGUAGGGAAUCUUCGGCAAUGGACGAAAGUCUGACCGAGCAACGCCGCGUGAGUGAAGAAGGUUUUCGGAUCGUAAAACUCCGUUGGUAGAGAAGAACGUUGGUGGGAGUGGAAAGCUCAUCAAGUGACGGUAACUACUCAGAAAGGGACGGCUAACUACGUG
rnacentral:rRNA from 1 species